GUUACUCUUUUGUACUUUGUCUUUUUCUUUUAUUUUCUUUUGAGCGAUUGUGCGAACAUAGCAUAGCACGCACUAUGCCUUCUGUGUUGUAGCUGCCUGGCCAGGGCGACUGGCGGAUAAGGUCUUGUGCGUGGCCUCGAGGCUUAAAAGUAGCAGUGGGGCUUUGUGAAGGACAAAAUGGCGAUGGCGGGCCGUGUAGGUCCCCCUUCCUAUGAUGAGGACCUUUUCACAGACCUGUACUGAGCUCCGUGAGGAUAAAUAACUCUGAGGAGAUGGGCCCUGCAAGCCUCUUGCUUAGCCGUCUGUUCAGAAAAUAGCGUUUUCGAAAUGCCCUGAGUUGACCUAAUGUCUUAUUGGGCUCCUGUCUGCAGGAUUUACGCGCACGUUGGAACCGAAGAGAGCUCUGUUGUUGCAAUGUUCAGCCCACAAGAGCUUACUGGUGAAGGAAUGGGACAAGACCCAUCUUUAUGCAAAGCCAGCGUUACAGUAAUGUUCCAGCAUCUCAUAAUCUAUCCUGGGGAAUUCAGCUGCCUCCCAGGGUGAAUACAGGUAUUCCUGAUGACAGUCUGCCUCUAUCUUACAGAGCAGCUUGUUGCUAUAUACCAUUGAAAAGCCUUCAGAGCUGAGAGGUACUACUAACCAAUAACCUGCUUGGCUCAAAGGGCCAGCACCUUCUCUCUAAAGCCCAAGAGGAGUUUGAGGAAAACUAGGUGUCUGUGUUCACUCCAGGCUGAAGUUACAGGUGAGUAAACCUAAAUGUAAGGUGGACUAUGCUAAAAAUUCCCAAUGAAGAAACUUUCACAUGUCUUACUCUCUGUCCUAGUCCCAGAGCCUGUAAAGGUGAACCCACUGGGACUGGCUGGGGGAGAAGAGGAAGAUUUGUUCCAGAAGGAACUGUCUGAGGGAUGAUAAAGAUUUCUAUACAGAGAAAGGGAGUAAUCAUCACUUGUUGAAAACAUUGGUUUUAUUUUUUCCAGGUCUGAGCAAAUAAGGUGUAUAAAAAAUGGAAUCUGUCUUGGAGGACAUCAGAAGGUGAAUUUUCCAAGUUCUUGGACAACCUAGCUGUUGAAAAGCUUUCUGGGUUUGGGGGGUAUUUCAGAUGUACCUUAAAGUGUUAGCAGACACAGAUUAAGACACUGGGAGCCAAUGAAACAGCAGUUGAGGGUUUGCUGUGUAUCACAUUUCUGUAUUUUAUCACCCCCUUCCUGCAACAUUAUUUAUCUGGAAUCUACCUGCCCUUUUGUUUUUUAGAUACAAGGGCUUGGUUUUGUUACCCAGGCUGGUUUCAAGGCCAUAGCUUUAAGAGAUCCUCUCACCACAGAUUUCCAAAGUGCUGGGAUUGCAGGUGUGAUUCAUGGCACCCAGACUUUGCUGCCUUUCUUACAUGAUCCAGGCCCAGAACCCAAACUCAGGCACUGUAUAGAUGACCACUUUCGUAAACUACUGACCUAGCUUGUUGCCAAUUGUUGAUUGAACUUCCCAUAACUCCACUUCGUGUCUGUUCCUCUGUAUACAGCCACCUUCUGUUCCCGUCAUGAGCCUUUAGGUCUCCAUUUGCAUAUUGCAAAUACUAUGUUCCAUGUAGGUAGCUCAUUCAGGGCCUUGCUCUUCACUUCAAAAAAGGUUCCCUUGAGGACUGGCUGUCAAUUUGUGUUGCUGUGUUGGUUGUUGAUGAAAAUAAUAAAAUGA
ensembl:lncRNA SNHG1 small nucleolar RNA host gene 1